UUCCCCCAGUAACGGCGAGUGAAGAGGGAACAGCCCAAAUUUGUAAUCUGGUCCUUUUCGGGGCCCGAGUUGUAAUCUCGAGAACUGUUUUCCGCGCUGGACCGCCUACAAGUCUGUUGGAAUAUAGCUUCAUAGAGGGUGAGAAUCCCGUAUAUGAGGUGGACUACCAGUGCUUUGUGAUACAGUCUCCAAGAGUCGAGUUGUUUGGGAAUGCAGCUCAAAAUGGGUGGUAAAUUCCAUCUAAGGCUAAAUAUUGACGAGAGACCGAUAGCGAACAAGUACCGUGAGGGAAAGAUGAAAAGCACUUUGGAAAGAGAGUUAACAGUACGUGAAAUUGUUGAAAGGGAAACGCUUGAAGUCAGUCUGGUACUUUGUGGUUCAACCUUUCGGUGUAUUCCACUUUGAACCGGCCAACAUCAGUUUUUGACGUCGGAUAAGGGUAGGGGAAACGUAGCAGCCUCGGCUGUGUUAUAGUCCCUUACUUGAUACGAUGUCGGAGACUGAGGAACGCAGUGAGCCUUUGGCGGGUCUUCGGACCUUCUCACUAUGGAUGUUGGCGUAAUGGCUUUAAACGACCCGUCUUGAAACACGGACCAAGGAGUCUAACAUGCUUGCGAGUGUUUGGGUGACAAACCCGGGCGCGUAAUGAAAGUGAAUGUAGGUGGGAACCGAAAGGUGCACCAUCGACCGGUCCGGAUUUUUAAUGAUGGAUCUGAGUAAGAGCAAGUCUGUUGGGACCCGAAAGAUGGUGAACUAUGCCUGAAUAGGGCGAAGCCAGAGGAAACUCUGGUGGAGGCUCGUAGCGGUUCUGACGUGCAAAUCGAUCGUCGAAUUUGGGUAUAGGGGCGAAAGACUAAUCGAACCAUCUAUGCUACUUGGUGGUUAAGAGGCAGCUCAAAGUGCUGUCUAGUUUGUUUAGAGGCUUGCAACAUCGUCAAAUUGUCGGGGACACCCUAAAGCUUUGUACACCAAGCCUUUCACAGAAAUGGAAAGGUGGCCACAUUAAUAAUGUUGGGUAUGGUAAAAGAUACAAAGAUGAACAGUGGGCAACCCGCAGCCAAAUCCUGAUUUCUUGUAAAUCAAGGAUGCAGUUCACAGACUAAAUGUCGGUGGGUAAAGUGUUACACUUUGCUUAAGCUAUAGUCGGACCUCCUGGGAAACCAGGCCAGAAGAUAAAGGCAUAUCGUUCCUCUAAUUUGUGGUAUGCCCCGAGCUUCUGGGAGCAUUAUGAUGCUUUGGAGUAACG
rnacentral:rRNA from 1 species